GUCUUUUAGAUUAUAAUUUAAAGUCUAACCUGCCCACUGAAUUUUUGAAUGGCCGCAGUAUUUUGACUGUGCAAAGGUAGCAUAAUCAUUAGUUUCUUAAUUAGAAGCUUGUAUGAAUGGUUGAACGAGAAACUUACUGUCUCAAUUUAUAAGUUAAAAUUUUAUCUUUAAGUCAAAAAGCUUAAAUAAUUUUAAAAGACGAGAAGACCCUAUAGAGUUUUAUAUUUUAAUUGAUUUUUAUUUUAGAAUUAUAUGUAUUUUUUAAAAUAUUUUGUUGGGGUGACAUAUAAAUUUAAUAAACUUUAUAUAUUUAGUAACAUAUAUUUAUGAGUAAAUGAUCCAUAUUUUAUGAUUAUAAGAAAAAAUUACCUUAGGGAUAACAGCGUAAUUUUUUUUUAGAGUUCUAAUCGAAAAAAAAGUUUGCGACCUCGAUGUUGGAUUAAAGUUAAUUUAUGGUGUAGAAGCUAUAAUAUUGGGUCUGUUCGACCUUUAAAACUUUACAUGAUCUGAGUUUAAACCGGUGUGAGCCAGGUUGGUUUCUAUCUUUAAAUAAUUUAAAUAUUUUAGUACGAAAGGACCAAAUAUUUUUAAUAUUUAAUUUAAUUUGAAUA
rnacentral:rRNA from 1 species